rnacentral:piRNA from 1 species
UGAUCAUAUUCGAGUUUGUGUGGCCA